GUUGUUAUUUGAGAGCUCAUAUGUCAUGUGUUGCUUUACUAAUCGUGAUCAUUUCUUGAUUUGCUCAUUUUCUAAAAUGAUAUAGCUUGUGCUUCCCUUGUUUUUGGAUAAUUUUCUUGUCAAUUUAAAUAAACUCAGCAUGUUAGCCUAAAGUACUUUGAAGUCUUUGCUAUGAUCUGUUAUUUCCACUACCUUAAGCAUAAUUAUGUUAAUACAUGUCAAUUAGUCUUAUGUGAUUUUUGUGUAUUGCUGCCUUAUUCAUUCAUAGUCCUUUGCCUUGUUCAUUCAUAGUCCUACCAGAUGUUUAAAUGUUAAAUCUAAAAGAGAUUGAAUUUCGUACACCUCUGUGAGUAGUGUUGGGUUUUGGCUUUGCGUGACAUUUGAUUGAAUAUGUUUCAAAUUCCUUUUUGGUUUGGGCAAAAGAGGUAUUUAGUAAGAGGUUACGUGAUAGAAAAAUGGGCUAAGAAGCCUCUGUUUAGUUGCUGCUUUAUUUUAAGUUGUGGCUGCAUAUUGUCGUUGUUGUUUUGCUUAUACUAAUUGCGAAUUGUUUAUGAAACGGUAUGACGUUCAAACAGUUUCUAUAUUACAAAUGUGUUCCCCUGUUCAUUUACUAAUCGUAGGUGCAAAGAUAUCGAUUUUUUUCUUUACCAGUUUGUUGUUAAUCUAUUCUCAAAAUGCCAUAAAUCUUCCAAGUGCUAUCCUUGAAUACUCUUAGAUAUUCUUUGUUACAAUUCUGGUUCGAUAACUCCUGAUAGGAUUUUGUUUAAAUUUAGCCCUCGUGUUACUGCUUUUGGUAGAUUUUCCUCAUUGAUUGCGUUUAAAUAUGGUCAUUUGUGUCGCGUUUUAAAUUAAAUUAGUGUCGGCAUUAGCUUGUUUCCUUAAGCAAUGAGUCCAUACUUAUUUGAUGUAGUUCUUUUCUUUAGUUCAUAUUUGUGGGAUAUCAAGUCUAAACUAAUAUCUCGUAAAUCUCUAUCUUUAUUUUUUUUUCAUUGAUAGAUAAUUAUAGUUAAUUGAUUAGUAUAAUUUCAGCAGUUAUAAGCAUGUCACUUAGAGAUUUUGAGCUUACAUGACAGUGUUUGCAUAGCCAGACUUCUCAGAUGUUGAUUGAUUGUUUUAAGCUUGAGUUAAUAUCAUUUUAAUAGUGUUGUUAAUCUUUCUCUCUUUUUCUUGGUGCAUGAAUACUCUCUCCGAAUGAGUCCAAUGGACUCCCUAUCUCUUGUAUCCUUCUCUAUUCGAGUCGACCUUCAUCAAGUCGUGAAAGGGAAGAUAAUUUUUAUUGGGUUAAACACCCAAGAAGUCAGCAGUAGCAGCAGUCCCCAAGGGACUAAAAUUGGAAAUUUUGGACUAUAGAAAGUCCAAUUUAUACAGGUUUCAGCAGUAGUCCCAAAAAACUAAAACAAUGGGAUUUUGGACUUUGAAAAUUCAAUUUGAACAGCAGCAGUCACAAAGGACAGAGAAUGGAAUUUUUUUUGGACUUUGGAGUCCAAUUUGAUCGUGGCAGCAGGAAGAAGUGAUUUAGGUUUAAAAGCCUAAUUUUUCAUAUUGUUCAGUGCAACUUUUCUUUGUUUCCCCAUUGAUUGUGUUAUCGUGAUUUUUAACCCUCUUAAUAACUUAGAUGAAUCCUUGGGAGGCU
rnacentral:lncRNA from 1 species